AAUGAACGCUGGCGGCAGGCUUAACACAUGCACGUCGAACGAGUGGCGGACGGGUGAGUAAUGCUUGGGAAACUAGCUUAUGGAGGGGGAUAACUACGGGAAACUGUAGCUAAUACCGCGUACCAUAGGAUGGCCCAAAGUGGGAUUAGGUAGUUGGUGAGGUAAAGGGUGACCAAGCCGACGAUCGCUAGCUGGUCUGAGAGGAUGACCAGCCACCCUGGGACUGAGAAACGGCCCCGCCUCCUGCGGUAGGCAGCAGAGGGGAAUAUGUCGCAAUGGGGGCAACCUGACGCGGCCAUGCCGCGUGAAUGAAGAAGGCCUUCGGGUUGUAAAGUUCUUUCGGUAGCGAGGCGUUAGCUACAGAAGAAGCACCGGCUAACUCCGUGCCAGCAGCCGCGGUAAUAC
rnacentral:rRNA from 1 species